UGGACAGAUCAUGGAAACAGAAACUAAA
rnacentral:piRNA from 1 species